UAUAAUGUUUUUGGAAUACGCGUACAUUUCGACACAUUUUGACUAAGUAGGUGGAUUAUAUUAUUGGUAUCUAUGUAUAAGUAGUGAAUUUGUAUGAAAGGAAAUAUGCACAAAUAACCGGUUUAAGGGUUUUGGUCAAAGUAAAAAAAUUAAUCGAUUGUUAUACACGGUCUUACUUACUGAAUAUUGCAAUUAAAUGUUUCAUGAAAUAAUUAUUUUUUGUAAAAAUGGCUUA